CUUCCCAGAACGUCUACCACCAGUAUACUUGUCCCUGCAGUGAGCCAAUGCCACCCUCACCUUCCCAGGACAACCUCCAAGACGAGAAGAUGCUGCCCCAGAUGUGGAAGAUGCAGAUGUUUGCCAGUUCAAGAAUAACUUCAAAUUCAUAAAUGUAUAUGGCAUUCUACAGAUUCCUCAGUUUGAGGAGAAAUGUCUCCCUCCCAAAAACGUUUAAAUCUUU